UCUCAGCCCAAAAUCUCCUUAAGAUGAUGAGCAACUUGAGCAAAGUCUCAGGAUACAAAAUCAAUGCUCAAAAAUCAUGAGCAUUUCUAUACACCAAUAACAGACAAACAGAGAGCAAAUAAUGAGCCAACUCCCAUUCACGAUUGCUAAAAAGAGAGUAAAAUACCUAGGAAUACAACUACAAAAAAUGUGAAUGACCUCAUCAAGGAGAAUUAUAAAACACUGCUCAAAGAAAUUAUACAAGAC